GUUCACAGAGCGCAGCGAGUGGAACGAAUGGGUGCCGGCGUCCUCAGACGCUCGCGGAAAUCAAAUGAUAAAGCGGGAGGGGCCCCCGCCCCAGCCUGGCGGCCGACGCCCACUCCUCCCUGAAAGAAUCUAGCAGAGUACUCUGAGGCCCUGGAUGAUAGCAGAGACAUUAAGUGGAGAGAAUCUGCCCCUGGAUGGGAAGACCACCCUUUACCACCUAUUAAUGAGCUAUGAGAUGAGCAGUUCUGUGCUGGCGCAAGGCCCCGCACUGCAAGUCUGGGACGAUGAGAACGAAGACGCAUAAGGAAAAUGGGGUGGGUUCCGGGAAGGGCUGGCGGACA